UACGUAGGGUGCGAGCGUUAAUCGGAAUUACUGGGCGUAAAGCGCACGUAGGCGGCUUGGUAUGUCGGGUGUGAAAACUCUAGGCUCAACCUAGAGACGCCACCUGAUACUGCUGUGGCUAGAGUCCGGUAGGGGAGCAUGGAAUUCCUGGUGUAGCGGUGAAAUGCGCAGAUAUCAGGAGGAACACCAGUGGCGAAGGCGGCGACCUGGGCCAAUACUGACGCUGAGGUGCGAAAGCGUGGGGAGCAAACAGG
rnacentral:rRNA from 1 species